GAUCAUGGCUCAGGAUGAACGCUAGCUACAGGCUUAACACAUGCAAGUCGGAGGGGCAGCAUCAUCAAAGCUUGCUUUGAUGGAUGGCGACCGGCGCACGGGUGAGUAACACGUAUCCAACCUGCCGACAACACUGGGAUAGCCUUUCGAAAGAAAGAUUAAUACCGAAUGGCAUAAUUAUUCCGCAUGGGAUAAUUAUUAAAGAAUUUCGGUUAGUCGAUGGGGAUGCGGUUCCA
rnacentral:rRNA from 1 species